rnacentral:rRNA from 1 species
CCUACGGGAGGCAGCAGUGGGGGAUAUUGCACAAUGGGGGGAACCCUGAUGCAGCGACGCCGCGUGGGUGAAGGAGUGCUUCGGCAUGUAAAGCCCCUUUGGCAGGGAAGCAGCAAGACGGUCCCUGACUAAGAAGCUCCGGCUAACUACGUGCCAGCAGCCACGGUAAUACGUAGGGGGCGAGCGUUAUCCGGGUUUACUGGGGGUAAAGGGAGCGUAGGCGGCCAAGCAAGGCAGGGGCGAAAGCCCGGGGGCCAACCCCGGGACUGCCCUUGAAACUGCAUGGCUGGAGUGCGGGAGGGGCAGGCGGAAUUCCUGGUGUAGCGGUGAAAUGCGUAGAUAUCAGGAGGAACACCGGCGGCGAAGGCGGCCUGCUGGACCGCGACUGACGUUGAGGCUCGAAAGCGUGGGGAGCGAACAGGAUUAGAUACCCUGGUAGUC